rnacentral:lncRNA from 1 species
AAUUCUGAGAUUUAUAACUUUCUUGAAGCAUAGGAGGGGGGGAGCUUUCUUGGCUCUCCUCCUGUCCUUUUUUUGUAUAUCUUUGAUGGUUUGUAGUUGGGCCUGUAAGGAAAUUAUCUUCUGAGAGCGUUCACACUUCAGAUUAAGGUAAUGUCGUCUGUUAGUGUGAACAACAUAGGCUUGGUGCUGAACAAAAGCCUUUCUAACUACUGAUUGCCAAUAAUGUAAUGCUCUGAUGCCUUCCUUUCACUUUCAAGGAAUAAGACUAAAUGAGAAGUAGGGUUCUAAUAAAACCAGUUGGUUCUUUUAUUGUUUUUAUAGUGCAUAUGUUUAGAGCCAGUUCUUGCCAACUAUGGGCCUUGUAGUCAUUUCUAGAGCAUUUUUAAGAAUGACAGUAAAGCAGUUGCCAAUGCCACACCACAGAACACUGAGGUAGAAAUUUCAUUUGAAAGAGAUGUCCUAUUUUAUAUAUGUAUAUAAAGAUAUGCAUACUUGUAUAUACGAAUUUUUUUUAACUGUCAAGAAGAAUUGCUUAUGUUUAAUUCCUGACUACAGUGUGCCCAUCUUUGACAAAGUUCUCUAUUGGCUUGUUUAAUGGUUAUGUGACACCCACCUAUUUGCUGACUUGGCUAGGGAAAAAAAAUAUGUUGACUAGAGUAAUCAAUAUGACUUUACAUUUACAUUCAUCAUUGUCACUAAUACAACAAAAGCCUUCCUCGUAUAAAGACAUAGAAAUCAGGUAACAAAGCCAAGCAAGCAAAAUAGAUUUCCUUAUUUGCCCUGUCUUCCCAUUGUGUGUUUUGUGAGAGGAAAAUAAUUGGGAAUCUCAACUAGUAAUCCAGAAGAUGACUUUAAAAUUUUGUUUCCCGUAGUAAAAUAGGGCAAAAAUAAUACUCGGAGCUUUUUCUUGUUCCAAACAGUGGAAGGAAGUUGCAAAGAGAAUUGCAGUAACUUGGAGACAGCAAAUUAGGGACUUUGAGUCCUCGUGUAGAACAAUAUUCAAUAUGUGUAAUUUUAUUGUUUUAGUUGUUAAUGGUCUGAUUACAAGUGUUUAGACAUAACCAGUGGAUUGAUAGUGCAUUUUUGUCUGUUAACUGCAGCCAACCCUCGGACUAGUACCCCUAGAGGGUGUGGAGGCUGCAGCUGAUUGAAUGUGCAAAAAGGGGUCUGGGCUAAAACUGAAAGCACUUCUCAUUCUUGGCUUGUUUCACUUUGAGAGUUUGGGCUUUUGAUGUUACUUUUAGGGAAAAGCUGAGAUCACAAAUAACUAGAAGUAGCCACUUUGAACAGUUCUGCUCUGGUUAAGAGUUACACUCCAUGAUACCUCUUUACUCCAUGGUACCUUUUCACAGAGUAUUAUAAGCUGGAUUUUCACAUUAUGGGAAUGCAAGGUUGCUACAUUUUUAGUAAGGCAACAUCUCCUUAAGUGUUGCCUGUUGGAAAUCUUGAGAAUUUUGAGGAUUUUAACUUGAAAUGUAGUAAAAGUUUAGUUGAUUUUGAAGUGGCAGUGCUGUUCUUUUUUUUUUUUUUUUUUUUUAAUAUAAUUUUGUACUUUGUCAAAUUAACGGUUCACUCUGUUUUAAGUGUGAUUAUUCCUUUCAAAAAAUUUGUUCUUGCCAGUAAAUAUGUAAAUGGAAUAUGGACUCCACCUGUUCAUAAAUAGAACUUUAUCCUCUCUCCAUUUCUCAAUAUAAAGAAUACUGUGAUACUUUCCCAAAAACUUGUUUAUGGUGGAGUUGUGGCAAAUAGUUUCUUCUUUAUUGGAAUCUGACUCUUCACUGGGAAUGACCCUUUCUUUUCCUCACUCAUCUUUUCCUUUUUUAUAUUAGCUGGUAAUAAGUACUCUGAAGAAACCUCUUAAACCAAGCAACUUGGGAUAAUUUGCAAUGUUAAGGUACAUAUGUCCUUAGGCAAAGCUGCUCCAAAAGUGGCUUGAUUGCUUUAUACACUUUCCUCUAUUUUAUUAAGUGUUAACUUAGCUUUUGGUUUUUAAUUUCUGUAAUUUAAAAUGGAAAAGGCAAACUAUAUGAAGUCCUACCUACUACCAUUUAUGUAGUGUUAGUAGUACUGCAUGAUCUUUAUAAUGUGUUCAUCAACUUUGGUCUCUGAAAGUUUUCCAGUACUGUACAAAAUUGAAAAGAAAAAAAAAAAAGUAAUGCCUGUGGUAUCCUUCAUCUUCUCUGCACACUGUGAUCUUUACACAGAGUUACUUCAAACCUCCAAGUGUUCUCUUCCUAGCUUCCCUUCUCCUUGGGCCAUUUCUAUCACUAUCCUGUGAUUUCUCAUUAUGAUGCAGAUCUGUGUGUGAACCUAGUUUUGCUCUAAUUCCCAGAAUAACCAUGUCCCAGUAUUAGGUAGAUAAUUGCAAAUAACACUAUCCAAAAGCAAGCUAAAAAAGCAAGCUAUGAACCUGCCUUCCUAAGUAUUUACAUUUAGGAAACUGUAAAGUCUUCUUAUCUUUUGGUGGGGUUUUGGGGUAAAUACAAGUGUUGGCAACUUAAAGGAGUUCAGAUGAGGUUGUUCUAUGACAGCCAUAUUUGUUAAUCAAUAUUCAUCCCCUUGAGCCAGCAGAUGGGGAGUCUUAAGUGCUAUAAAAAUGAACUCAAGAACAGAAAUGAAAUGUUUUAUCUUGCUUUUCAUUUUCAAAUUAUUUCGUCAUUAUCAUGUUAAAAUCAGUUUCUCCUUGUUUCUCUUUUGUUGUAUACUUAGGCCGAAUACUUACUUUUUAUAUUUAAAUGCUGUCUGUUUAAAGAGUUUUGUUUGUAAAUAAAGUUUUUGGGCUACCAUCCUACAUUUGGGGAUCCAGGCUUUAGUAAUUUAUCAGCCAUUUAAAAAUUGAAUAUAAGAAUAAAUACUUUGUAGGAAACUUGGAGCCUGAUUUUUUUCCUCUUUUUUUUUUUUUUUUUUUUUUUUUUUUUGCAGCUGAAGGUGUAAAUAAUAUAAGAUAAUGUAGGCCCCACCUAAAAGCCCCCUGUAAAUUGGGCUACUGCAAGCUGUCCCUAUUUUUAUUAGGUUUUGGGAUUUUUUUGUUUUGUUUUUGUAUGUUUGAUAGAUUAGUGUCUGUACAAGUGUUAUCUGUAGUGGGGUUUUGUCCAACAAGCCUG